GCUGAAAAGUACAAAGACAGAAACUGGCUCGACCGGGAAGUGAGGCGUCCCAGGACGGGGAGAGGGGCAGGGGGUGGGUCUGAGCGAGGACGGGGCUUGGGAUGAGCACAGAGAGAGCAGGAGCUGGCAGUACGGGCCCCAGAGGAGGCUGAUGGGCCGCGGCUGGCUCUCCAAGCCGCCGAGGAAGCAAAGAGCCAGGGCCUCCAACGAGUGGGCCGGGGACACUGAGGCUCAGAGCGCCUGGCGGCGUGAGAGGGACGGCCGCUCACCCAGGACACCACCCUUCCGUUGAAGCAGGGGAGGCGGGCGCUGUCAUCUGAAAUCUCCUCCUUCACCACCCUGCCGAGAGAGGGCACAAAGGCCGGUGAGACUGGCCUCACCACCCCCCCAACACACCCCCAAUUCAAACCUCCUGAACCGCAUCCAUGGAGCUCGGGGGCGCCGACUUUCUCCAGCCCUGACCCAGUCCUCUUCCCUGACGCUGAAACCCUUCGCUUGCGCACCUACGGGGUCUCCCCAUUCGCUCCCCUUCCUUCCUUCUCUCCCCAACUCAUCCUCCGGGCUCAAUGCUGCUCCAAAGAUUUCCUGGGGUCCGCUUCCAACUUCUCACUCGGAUCUCAGAGACCGUCCUGUCCCCUUGGGUGACCCUACAGGUCUCUGCACCAAGCAACCUGUCUUGCCUGACAGACCCCAAAGCCCAGCGUCAGGAUGGACACGACUCGCUCCUUCUUCUCACCCACCACGUGAAAUCACGGCCGCCUGUUCUGUUCGGCACCCUGUCCUGGCCACACAGCGACAGACCGGACACUUGUUAAGCAUCAACAAACGGUUGAAUAAAUACACGAACUACGAGAA